GUUUGAUCUGAUUCUAACUUCAAUGAUAACCGUGAGAAAAAGUUCUAUCAGGAUAGAGCUGCAGAGCUUAAAGAAGAAUAUGCCAAGGCCUUGAAGUCACACAAGAAGAAUAUGAACAAGUAUGUAUGUUAUUCUUAGGAAUCGUUUGGUAAGGCUUUUGAAAAGUUAAAAGCUAUCAUUUGACCCAACUAUCGAGUAGGGAUGAAAGUCUACCUCGGUUAGUCGACGGUGUAGAUUAGAUGGAUAGUUGCUCAACAGAUAAAAGUUACUUCAAAGAUAAUAGACUAAUAUUCUAUAAGAGUUUACAUUGGCUGAAAGAUUUGGCACGUUGAUGUAGCUUCUCCGCCACUUGGAAUUCAUCUAUUAAAGUGUAAAGGUAAAAUUAGAGAAUGAAAAUCAUUUUCUAAUUUUUCUUAAAAAU
rnacentral:lncRNA from 1 species